rnacentral:lncRNA from 1 species
CCAGUCUAUCAUUGAUGGACAUUUGGGUUGGUUCCAAGUCAUUGCUAUUGUGAAUAGUGCCACAGUAAACAUACGUAUUCAUGUGUCUUUAUAGUACCAUGAUUUAUAAUCUUUCGGGUAUAUACCCAGUAAUGGGAUCGCUGGGUCAAAUGGUAUUUCUAGUUCUAGAUCCUUGAGGAAUCGCCACACUGUCUUCCGCAGUGGUUGAACUAAUUUACCAACAGUGUAAAAGCAUUCGAAGAAAUAGUGUUUUCAUAUACUGUUAAUGAGAAUGUAAAUCAGGAAAGCUUUUGGCAAAAUUUAUCACGUAAAACCCUUUGACCCAGCAAUGCCACUUGUCAGGCUCUCUUCUCCUAAAGUACUCAUGUAGGAUUCAGAGUAGUUUAUAAGAUGAUUCAUUGCAGAUUGCAUGUAAUUGUGAAAAAUAAGAAGCAAAUUGCAAAUCCCUCAUAGGGAACUAAUUAAAUUAGGGCACAUCUACUUCAUGGGUUGAAUAUAGCUAGUUUUAAUGAGAACAUCUAUAUGUACCAGAAAGUUUUAGGGGGAAAUAGUAAGAUAUGUAUCAAAAACCGUGAGAUGGCAUAUAUGAAAAGUAGAAUUAAUAAGGGAUGGUGAAAGUGGAUGUUUCAUGUUUUAUAUAUUUUUGUUGUUUAAAACUUUUACUAAACAUGUCUUCUAUAAAUAAAAAACUUAAAGCUUUAUGGGGAAAAAAUGAAGAGAAUUUAAGAGGAUCCCAAUCUUCUUCCUAAUUGACUUAGUUAAGUUCUGGCCUGAAUAGAACAUAGCAACUGCUGGAAACUUAAGGAAAAGACUUGAUUAGAAAUUUAGUGCUUAUAAAAUACUGCCAUGUACUGGGGAAACCUGCUGAUUUCAGCAGUUAGGACACCAGGAGAAUAGCUGAUUGGCAGUUUGCAAGUAGCUUGUAGGGUGUAAGUUGGCAGAAAUGCAAGCCACACAAUGUAUACAGACGUCCUGCUGGAUCUUUCAAACCUAGGGAUGGCAGAAUCAUAGUCUGUAAAUUCUAUUCAAGUUAAGUCCAAUUUUUCUAUCUAAGUAACAGAGUUGCUUCUUCUGCACUCACUUGCCUAAUUCUCUCACAUUCAGACUGUGUAACUGCAGACCACUUGCAUUUGUUUUCUACUGCUGCUGUAACAAAUUACUACAAACAUAGCGGCUUAAAACAUCACGAAUGUAUGACAUUAUAGUUCUGAAGGUCAGAAGUCUGAAAUGGGUUUUAUGGAGCUCAAAUCAAAAUGUCGGCAAAACUAAAUUCCUUCUGGAGGCUCUAGGGGAGAAUCUGUUCCUUGCCUUUUCCAGCUUCUAGAGGCUACCCACAUUUCCUGGCUCAAGGCUGCAUCACUCCAAAUUCUGCUUAUGCUAUUACAUCUCAUCUUCUUGCUCUGACCCCCCUGCCUCCCUCAAACAAUCCAGGAUAAUCUCUUCAUCUCAAUAUAUUUAACUUAAUCACAUCUGCAAAGUCCUUUUUGCCAUCUAAGGUUUUGUAUUCUCAGGUUCCAGAGAUUAGGACAUGGCCAUUAUUCUGCCAUGCCACCUAUUCUGUUAGAAGACCCUCAGUGACUAGCAGGGUGACCCAAGAUAAGGCAUCUUUGUUUGCUCUCUCAGUAAAUUUGAAAUUAGGAACCUGUAGCUAUCACUGCCUUCCUACACCACCCCAUGAGAGAGGGAUAAUUUGAGAGAUGUCAGACUUGAAGGUCUUCCUGUCAUUUUAGGAGAAGAGUGUAUGCAAAAUUACUGGUGAUGGCAUGAAUUAUACUACCAGUGAUACUAUCAACUUUGAUUUUUCUCUAUUUCUAAGGCGGUAUGAACUGCUUAGUUCUGCUGUCAUAAGGGAAGGGACUAUUGCUUUAGGCCCUGACCCAGUGUUUUCCCACACAGUCAUCACUAUGGAUGCUCAUUGUCUUGUUUUUUGUCCUAUUGUCUAAGGCAAGGUUAUAUAUGGAGUAUUUUAGAAGGAAUUAAAUUCUCAGAUAUUCACUAACAUAAGAACAUCCUCCCAUAAAGUCAAUCGAUGAUGCUGAGUUAUCUCCGAAGUUGUCAAUACAGUUUCAAAUGUCCCAGAAAAGAGCGUGAAUGGGACUCAGCAAUACCAUGGCACAAAUAUAUAGUAAUGGGGGAAAAAAGAAAUAGAAAUUACAAGGUGUGAACAAAAGGUACUGCUGCAAAUAUUAAUGUAGUGGUGCUAAUGUGCAGUAUUUUUGCUGCAUCCAACAUGAACCUGUGAUGCUAUGUCCUGGAUACCACAAAUAACAACCCUUUACAUACUCAUGGUUUAAAAAAAUAUUAUUAUUCUAUGUGAUCUUUGUGCUAACCCUAAGAUGCUGGCUGGGACUCAUAUCUUUAACAUACAGAGCAGAGAAAUGAGGCUCUGAAUCACUGUCCAAGGUUUAAUCUCCCUAAGAGGUGAAUUAUGACUUGAACUUGUGUUAUCUACACUUCUAUUUUCUUAUCUUCAAAAUAAAGAUAAGAAAUGGGAUUUUUUGAGAAAUAAAUAUUAAUAUUUGUAAAGUGCUUAGAAUACUUCUCAGAACAUAAACUCUAAAUAAAUGAUAUAUAAACUAAACACAAACUUAGAGCUCCUUGGCAUGUAUCAUCUUAUAACUAGAAAUUUCUUGAAUAAUAAAAUCAACAUCAAGGAGGUAGUGAUUGUAUGAAUAAUGGGUUAAUAAUAAUAUAUAUGCAAACUUUACUCCAUUUUAACACUAUGACCCUUCACACCUCUGUAACUCUCAAUUAAAAUUAGAUGUCUUUUCUGCUUCUUUUUUGUUCGGCUUUAGCAGUUACUUGUUUCUAGCCAUUACUGUGCGAUGAUUUAAUCAGUAACUGUACCUUCUGUUUGACUCUAAGCUGCAAGAAAGCAAAGUCUAGCGCUUACUUUUCACUGUUGUAUUUAAUAGCACCUAAAUGCUACCUGGUAGAUUCUCAAAUAUUUAAAAGAAUGGACCAGAAACUGAAUCAAAUUAAGUUAUCAUGUGCUGUGCUCCCAUCUGCUAUGUUUUCAUUCCCUAAUGAAAUUGUGGCAUAAAAUUAACCUCAAAUGUUGGGAAAAUACUCCGAUUUACAACUUUCUUUAAUGUGUAACUUGAGUCAUUGGAUUAAUUGCCAACUCAUAUUCGAGGUUAUAAAAUGCUUUCACAGUCAUUUAUCUCUUCUCUUGGAGCCUCACUGUAGUUCUUAGAGGUAACUAUGGAUGGUUUUGUCUCUCUUUUUAGAGAUAAUACAACAGAAGCCCCAAGAAAGAAAAUGUCUUUUCCAACAUCAUAAAUCUAGUCCAUGUCAGAAGUAAAACUAGGCAAUAUAUCAUUCACAUCUUUUAUAGUAGUAAUAAAACUGUAUUGAUGAUUAGUAGUCAGGAUUAAGCUAGUGUGUGUGUGUGUGUGUGUGUGUGUGUAUUCAUUUAAUGCACUCAAUAGUUAAUUAGAUGGCAUUAUCACUAUUUUACAGAUAAAGAAAAUGGGACUGCUGACUGGUUAAAAUUUGUGCAACUAAUCAUUUCUAAUUGUCGGAGCAGAAAUGAAACCUCUGGAACCAUGUCUGCAUGGUUUCAGAGCCUGAGAUUUAAGCCACCAUACUGCACUUCUUUCCUUCUCAAUGUGAUUUUAUUUCUACUACAAGAUGCUGACUCCCCUGUGCCCUUUCUUGACACUUAAUGAGUUUAUUGCCUUAUUCCCUAAUGUACGAAGUCCUACUUGUUUUCACUUUUCCUAUUUUUAUUCUGUUCUGACCUCUGGGAAUAACGUUUAGCAAAGCUGGGACAACCUACCUUCCCUAGCUGACAGACAAAAGAGAAGAUGCCUUUCAAUUACCAUCACUUAACUAGUGGAAGCUAGGCUCUUUGAAAAGAGUAUAAUGAGUUUUCACAGGACAAAGGAAAUUAUCCAAAACAUAGCAUGUUUCGACAGUGAAACCUGCUUCUGAAUAUUUUGCCCUUAGCAAUUGUCAGUACAUAGCAUUUAAUAAUCCCCACAGUACACAUGUUCAGUGGAGACCUCUUAGCGCUUGCUCAUGGAAGAGUGUGACACUUUCAAUUUUCACAUCAGUGUAGGGCUUGGGGUUGAGAGUCAUGGCAGGAUACCACAGCAUCAAAGAAGGUUGGAGCUGAAAAAGAACUUAGAACAGACCUAACGGUUUUGACUUUCACUGAGUUUUCUAUAGACCUCAGUUUCCACAUCUGUAAAAUAAGGGAGAUGAAUUAGAUUCUUUUA